rnacentral:rRNA from 1 species
GACAUAGGUGGCGAACGUUAUCCGGAUUUAUUGGGCGUAAAGGAUGCGUAGAUGGUGGAAUAAGUUAUUGGUCGAGGUCAAGCUCAACUUGGCGGAAGCUGAUAAUACUGUUCUACUUGAGGGCAGGAGAGGUUGGCGGAAUUCUGUGUGGAGCGGUGAAAUGCGUUGAUCUACAGAGGAACACCAAAAAGGGCGAAGGCAGCUCUCUGGGACGGUACUGACGCUGAGACGCGAAAGCGUGGGGAGCGAACAGG